rnacentral:ncRNA from 2 species
CUCUUAUCAAGAGCGACAGAGGGACUGGCCCUACGAUGCAGGUAACUAACAACAAUUAUUAUGUCUACAAGGUGCUAACUUCUGCAAGGUUAACCUUGAGAGAUACGAG